GACGAACGCUGGCGGCGUGCCUAAUACAUGCAAGUUGAGCGAUGAAGAUUGGUGCUUGCACCAAUUUGAAGAGCAGCGAACGGGUGAGUAACGCGUGGGGAAUCUGCCUUUGAGCGGGGGACAACAUUUGGAAACGAAUGCUAAUACCGCAUAACAACUUUAAACAUAAGUUUUAAGUUUGAAAGAUGCAAUUGCAUCACUCAAAGAUGAUCCCGCGUUGUAUUAGCUAGUUGGUGAGGUAAAGGCUCACCAAGGCGAUGAUACAUAGCCGACCUGAGAGGGGGAUCGGCCACAUUGGGACUGAGACACGGCCCAAACUCCUACGGGAGGCAGCAGUAGGGAAUCUUCGGCAAUGGACGAAAGUCUGGCCGAGCAACGCCGCGUGAGUGAAGAAGGUUUUCGGAUCGUAAAACUCUGUUGGCAGAGAAGAACGUUGGUGAGAGUGGAAAGCUCAUCAAGUGACGGUAACUACCCAGAAAGGGACGGCUAACUACGUG
rnacentral:rRNA from 1 species